rnacentral:tRNA from 1 species
GGAGUUGUGGCUCAGGAGCAGGGCGCUCGCCUAGCACGUGAGAGUCGCUGGGUUCAAUUCUCAGCACCA